AGUGAACGCUGGCGGUAGGCCUAACACAUGCAAGUCGAACGGCAGCACAGAGGAGCUUGCUCCUUGGGUGGCGAGUGGCGGACGGGUGAGGAAUACAUCGGAAUCUACUCUGUCGUGGGGGAUAACGUAGGGAAACUUACGCUAAUACCGCAUACGACCUACGGGUGAAAGCAGGGGACCUUCGGGCCUUGCGCGAUUGAAUGAGCCGAUGUCGGAUUAGCUAGUUGGCGGGGUAAAGGCCCACCAAGGCGACGAUGCGUAGCUGGUCCGAGAGGAUGAUCAUCCACACUGGAACUGAGACACGGUCCAGAUUCCUACGAGAGGCAGCAGUGGGGAAUAUUGGACAGUGGGCGCAAGCCUGUUCCAGCCAUACCGCGUGGGUGAAGAAGGCCUUCGGGUUGUAAAGCCCUUUUGUUGGGAAAGAAAUCCAUCUGGUUAAUACCCGGGUGGGAUGACGGUACCCAAAGAAUAAGCACCGGCUAACUUCGUGCCAGCCGCCGCCGUAA
rnacentral:rRNA from 1 species